UUAAAUUAUAAAUAAUUUAAUAAAAACAAGAAGCACCGCACGCAAAGUUACAAGAAUUAUCAAAUCAAAACAUAACAAGCAAAUAUCAAAAACGUCAAAAUAGAAAUUCGCCGCAAAGAGAUAGACGAGAUCGGUUGAGCGCACAACUUGAAGAACAGUACGAAAGUAAGACAUACAAACGGGAAAGUAAACAAAACUUCACAAAACAGCAGAAAACAAUUGUAUGUGCGCUACACAAAAAGCUCGUCUGAUCUGUAUAAAAGACGACGCAUUUUUGGUACGCAUUGAGCAAGUAAUCAUACGAAGAUACAAACCACGGAACCAGAUUAGAGAUCACCGAGCUCCAAAGGAACAAUCUCCAGAUACAGCAGAAUACCAGGAAAUAAUCUCAAGUUUCUCAAGUUUAAUCACGUUUAAUGAAUUUACUUUGUUUUUUUUUUUUUUUUUU